rnacentral:lncRNA from 1 species
AGCUCUAGCUCUUGCUCCUUCGCCUACUUGCUGCGUGAGACUGAGUAGCUGCUAGAUCCUUGGACUUCCAUUCACAGCUGCGACUGAACAAUUGUUGGGAAUUGGGCUGCCGACUAAUCCCUGAAAUUUAUCAGAAUCAGUGUUUCUGGAGAGCUUGUGAUGAAAAACACUGAUGUGAUUCCUGUCCUAAGACAAUACCACUGGGUGCUGAUCAGGAAUCAUGAAAAUAUAGUGAUGUCUGCCAACAUGCACAAGAGUGAACAUUAGAAGUAGCUGAGGACAAACGCCCUCCCAAGGAUGGAAGACCCCAAAUCCUUGAUUGGAAAGAAUAUUUUAUAAUUAAGCCUAUAUCUUAAAAGAAUUUAUUUGAAGACAACUUCUUG